rnacentral:snoRNA from 1 species
GUACAAACUCAGUUCCUAAUUCUGCAUACUGUGACAGAGGCAAUGGCAACCAGGUUUGCUAAAGUAAUGGUGGGGACAGAAAUCUACCUCAGAAGCUACUGAGAUAGUCCAUAUUAUCAAUAAGUACCA